rnacentral:rRNA from 1 species
ACGCUCGACACCUACGGGAGGCGGCAGUUAGGAAUAUUGGGCAAUGGAGGAAACUCUGACCCAGCAACGCCGCGUGAAGGAAGAAGGUUUUCGGAUUGUAAACUUCUGAUCUAGGGGAAGAAGGAAGUGACGGUACCCUAGGAGAAAGCCACGGCUAACUACGUGCCGNNCGCCGGAGUAUNGNGGCGNGCGAGACG